GCGAAAACUUUACAAUGCUGGCAACAGCGAUAAGGGAACCUCGAGUGCCAGGAUACAAAUCUGGCUGUCGAGAUGCCUAAAAAGCAUUUAAUAGCAAGGGCAGGGCAAGACCGGUGCCAGCCACCGCGGUAACACCGGCGGCUCGAGUGGUAACCGUUAUAAUUGGGUCUAAAGGGUCUGUAGCCGGCCGGAUAAGUCUCUUGAGAAAUCUGGCAGCUUAACUGUCAGGCUUUCAGGAGAUACUGUCUGGCUCGAGGCCGGGAGAGGUGAGAGGUACUUCAGGGGUAGGGGUGAAAUCUUGUGAUCCUUGAAGGAGCACCAGUGGCGAAGGCGUCUCACCAGAGCGGUCCUGACGGCAAGGGACGAAAGCUAGGGGCACGAACC
rnacentral:rRNA from 1 species